rnacentral:rRNA from 1 species
UACGUAGGGUGCAAGCGUUGUCCGGAAUUAUUGGGCGUAAAGGGCUCGUAGGCGGCCCGUCACGUCGGCUGUGAAAACCCGGGGCUCAACCCCGGGCCUGCAGUCGAUACGGGCGGACUAGAGUUCGGCAGGGGAGACUGGAAUUCCUGGUGUAGCGGUGAAAUGCGCAGAUAUCAGGAGGAACACCGGUGGCGAAGGCGGGUCUCUGGGCCGAUACUGACGCUGAGGAGCGAAAGCGUGGGGAGCGAACAGG